rnacentral:lncRNA from 1 species
GUUUCACCAUGUUGGCCAGGCUGGUCUCGAACUCCUGAACUCAGGUGAUCCACCUGCCUUGACUUCCCAAAGUGCUGGGAUUACGGGCAUGAGCCACCACGCCCAGCCUUUAUAUAUAAACUUUCAUGUAUGAAAUCAUAAUGUGGUUUCUUUGACGAGUUUUAUAACAUCACUCAUUCUGCAUGAUUUUAAAAAAUCAGCUUUACUGGGUUAUGAUUUACAUUAAAUGUACCCAUUUACCUGUACAGUUUGAUACACUUAGAUAAAUGUACACACCUGCAUUCUGUAUGAUUUGGGGGAGACAGGUGACCUGAGUUCAAUCCUAAACUGAUAAUUUACUAAUCAUGUGACCUUGGGCAAAUUACCUUAACUUCUGAAAGCCCUGGUAAAAAUCCCACUUGAUAAUAAAAUCGAGUCCAGGAUAAUAAAAUAAAAAUCAAGUGGGAGUACUUUUCACUCUGUAACCAACUACUGCUGAAUUAUUCUUUUCCUUUUUUUGGACAGUCUCACCCUGUCACCCAGGCUGGAGUGCAGUGUUGUGAUCUCUCCUGGGCUCAAGCGAUCCUCCCGUCUCAGCCUCCCAAGUAGCUGGGAUUACAGGCGUGCACCACCAUGCCCAGCCUGAGAUAGCUUCUGUAAUUAUUCUAGCACAAUGCUAAGCACUUGCAGCAGGUCACAAAAAAAAGAGGGGGACCGUGUGGGACUGAGAGUUCCAGAGCAAAAGCCACCUGAACUGAUAAGCAGGGAAGGAAGAGCUGAAGAGAGCAGCAGCACAAAUGCCCUGUAAAUUAACAACCACACGGCUCACAGGGGCACCCCGGCACCCACACACCAGGCCCUCCCCUGUCCCUCCCCAUCCCCACUGACUCCCGAUCCCUCCAAAGGAUACCAAGGAAUAACCUGGCCUGGGUGGCAGGAGGAUGCUGGGGAGGGAUCUACAAAACAUAUACAAAAGAGUUUGGGGUUUUUGUCUGAUAAUAACUACCUUUCAUUAUUUUCUGUGUGAGGCAUUGUGCUAAUGCCUUGUACUCAUUACCUCAUGCACUCCUCACAACAUUCCUUUAAAAUACUGUCUUCUGUUUACUAAUGAGAAACCCAAGUCUCAGAAAAGUUAAUUAGCCUGUUGGAAGUCAAAUAACUGGUACAUGAUGAGCUGAGAUGAACCUGGGAUCUCUGUGACUUCAGAGCCCUGCUCUUAACUACUUUGCUGGGGAGGUCGUUGGGGAGUGGGUGGAAGAAGGGGUUCAGAAGCCUUAGUCUGGGAGUCCAGGCAGAGGCAUGGGAAGGCCUCUGGGAAGUUGAGGAACCUAUUUGUUUACGUAACUCACUUCCGACCUUGCAGGGCCAAGGCUGGAACCAUCUAGUGUGGCACAGUCCCAGAGCACUUUUUGUGCCGAUGGAAUGUUCUCUGUGCUGUCUGACGUGGUGCCACUAGCUACUGGGGCCACUGAGAACUUGAAAUGUGUCUGCUGUGACCAAGGAAUGGAAUUUUUAAUUGUGUGCAUUAUAAUUAGUUUAAAUUUAAAUUUGAAAACUGAUACUGGAUUCAGUUAUUGGAAAAUUUUAAGUAUAUUUUGAACAACUUGCUGUAUAAAACUAAUUUUUCAAUUUUCAAUUUUAUGAAGUCUAAAUACAGAUAAAGUAUUUCUUUUCUUUUUUUUUGAGACAGUCUCACCAUGUCACCCAGGCUGGAGUGCAGUAGCAUGAUCUUGGCUCACUGCAAACUCUGCCUCCCAGGUUCAAGUGAUUCUCCUGCCUCAGCCUCUCAAGUAGCUGGGAUUAUAGGCCCGCCACCUCACCUGGCUAAUUUUUGUAUUUUUAGUAGAGAUGGGGUUUCACCCUGUUGGCCAGGCUGGUCUUGAACUCCUGACCUCAAGUGAUCCGCCCGCCUCAGCCUUCCAAAGUGCUGAGAUUACGGGCGUGAGCCACUGCACCCAGCCAGAUCAAGUAUUUCUGAUGAGAAUUUAGCAUCUGAAUUGAGAUUUGCCAUAAGUGUAAAAUAACUAGUGUUCAAAGACUUAGAUGAAAAAAAAACAUCAAAUAGCUCACUAAUAAUUUUUAAUUGACCACCUGUUGAAAUAAUAUUUUUGAUAUACUGCAUUAAGUAAACAUAUUAUUAAAAUUAGUUUCCCUUGUUUUUAGAAAAAAAUGUUCAAAUAUGGCUAUCAGAAACAAUUUAAUGAAAUACGUGGCUCACAUUAUAUUCUUUUGGAUGGUCUUGAUCUGAAGGCCGAGUUCUGGUAUUAACAGAAGUUCCACUUAGUGGUGGGGUUGGAGAGGCCUUUCCCCACCUUUUACUACUCCUUUUUUUUUUUUUUUUUUUUUUGAGACAUUGUCUGUUUUUUACUCCACUUCUGUCACCCAGGCUAGAGUAAAGUGGUGUAAUCUUGGCUCACUGCAACCUCCACCUCUGGGGCUCUAGCAGUCCUCUCACCUCAGCCUCCCCAGUAACUGGGACCACAGGCGUGACCCACCAUGCCUGGCCAAUUUUUGUAGUUUUUGUAGAGAUGGAGUUUCACCAUGUUUCUCAGGCGGGUCUUGAACUCCUGGCCUCGAACUCCUGGCCUCAAGUGAUCCUCCCACCUUGGCCUCCCAAAAUGCUGGGAUUACAGGUAUAAGCCACCCUGACUGGCCUCAGAGAUUAAUUUUAAAAGAGAGCAGAGGUCAUGUGGAUGCUUCACAUAAAGGAGUGACUCACUGACAUUGGAUUCCAGGCCUCUGGGAGGGAAGGAUUUGGCCUUCCAGGAAUCUGUAUUGAGAGCUAUCUAUUGGUAGGUACCCCUGAUACCCUUACUUCUUAGAUAUCUAGGAUUGUCCCAAUGUAUAUGUUCUGACCAUGUAAGUACUCAUGCUUGUCCAAUCUUGAAUCCCAUUUUAAGCUUCCAAAAUGCGCAUAUGUAGGGAAUGAUCAGUUCUGCUUCUGUAUUAUGCUGCUCUCCUUAUUCCUGAAAAUGGUCCUUCAACCCUCAGCAGAGGUUGCAGGAUGCCUGCAGCUGCAAACCUGUCUUGCUCAUGCUGCAAAACAGAGAUGUCAUCACCGGGUGAGAAACUAAAACACUGAAGAUGGCACUUUCCAAAGUUUCUGCUUUCUGAAGCCCACAUUAUAAGGUCAUGUGCUAAAAUACCUUAUGUAGUAGCCUUGAUUCUAGAGCAAAUUAGCCUCAGUCUCUUUAUAUGUAAAUUGGGAGAAAUAACAGAGAGAGAAGAGACUCAUAUUGUUGCUUGGAGGACUAAAUGAAUUCAUAUAUGUAAAGUGCUUAGCCCAUUAUUUAGAACAUAAUAAACCAUCAACUCACUCUAUAUUAACUAUCAAUAUAAAAUAGGUGUAGGAUACUUCUAAAUGUGUGUCAGAACUUAUUUGGUCACACGUGAUAGACAGCUGAUUCCAAUUAAAAUGUUUAUUGGAAACAUACCGGACUUCUUACCCAAUAUUAGAAAAGAUUAGAAAAAUCAAACCCAGGAGAGCUGGGUACAGCUGGACCUUAGAGCUCUGAUACUGCAGGCACUUUUUUUUUUUGAGACAGAGUUUUGCUCUUGUUGCCCAGGCUGGAGUGCAAUGGUGCCACCUGGGCUUAUCGCAACCUCCACCCCUCAGGUUCAAGUGAUUCUCCUGCCUCAGCCUCCCAAGUAGCUGAGAUUACAGGCGCCCGCCACCAUGCCCAGCUAAUUUUGUAUUUUUAGUAGAGACAGGGUUUCUCCAUGUUGGUCAGGCUGGUCUCGAACUCCCAACCUUAGGUGAUCCGCCUGCCUUGGCCUCCCAAAAUACUGGGAUUACAGGCGUGAACCACCAUGCCCAGCCACUACAGGCACUUUCUGUCUCCUCUCUGUGCAUCUGUGUGUGUUGGUUUCUUUCUCAUUCACUGCAGAUGGGAGUCCUCAUAUGGCCAGAAACCAACAACUACCAAGGCUAUCUCUUGCAACUUCCUGCACUAGAGAGAUGUUCUUCUCGACUAUAGUUUAAACAACAACAACAACAACAACAACAACAACAGCCAGGGGAAGGACUAUGAGUGGCCCAGCCUGGGCAUUCAUCCUUAUACAAGUUCAACUUUGACCAUGGGAAUCAGGACAUAUAAGAGCAUGAUUGCUCCUGUUGGAAUCCCGUGGUUGCGGUUGGGGAUUUGGGUAACAAGUUCCCAAACAUAAGGGAGGGUGCUGAGUGGCCGCUUGCCGUACUCAGUCAUUGGCUGGGACUGCAGGAGUGGGGAAAAGCAUGGCCUCAGCUCAAAUACUGCAGCGGGUCCCAAAGGUGCUGCAACUGGAGGCUGUCAGCUGACCACUCUCCUUGCAGCUGAUCAUUCAGUUCUUUCUUGAAGGGAAAUGCAAACAGUGCACCUAUCUGUGGUUGCCAUGAGCCACCCCUUGUGCCCAUUCAUGAGAGCUCUGCCUUCAUGAUCUAACCACCUCCCAAAGACCAUACCCCCUAACACCAUCACCCUGGGGGUUGGGGUUUCAACAUAGGAAUUUAGGAGAACACAAACAUUCAGCCUAUAGCACCUGGAUCCCCUGGUCAGAUGCUAUAUUGUAUGAGAUUCCAUGCCUGUGGAUCAAGCACUCUAUAAACCCCUGGAUAGUGGUAAUGGCUGCAGCUCUGAGGACAGAGACAGCAAAUCCAUACUCGAAUCAGUGUCUGUUUAUCUGAGAAUGACACUCUGCCUCUCCAGGACAGAAGGGGCCCAAUUAGUCAACGUAUUGCUAGUGAGUCUCCUCCAGGAAUGGAGCUGCGUCAGGGCUGAACGUUGCUCUCUGUUGCUGCGAGGUUGGAUAUUCAAAGGCAGCAAUGGCAAGGUCAGAUUUGGUCAGUGAAGUCCAUGCUUUUGGGUCCACACGUAGCCUCUGUCUCUGCCACUGCGGCCACCCCCUUCACCUGCCCAUUGUCCCCAUUCCAAUGACAAAGCUUGUAUUUGUACAUUGAGCUGACCCACCAGUACACGAAGCAUAGGAGUUUCUUCCUCCGUCAGUUGGUCAUGAUGUUCCCCAGGGCCACGGGUGUGAGCUGAGGUAGGGACACUAGUGCCCUUAUCAGGCCCAAAUGUCCCCAGUAAAGUUAUGCUGGGAUUACCCCGAAUUAUCGAGCUGGCAGCCAGGAGAGAAAGUGGGCACAGCUUCUCAGAGGGACACCAGUUGCCUGGAGGGAAGAGGCCUCUGCAGUGUAUUUUUGCACAGGGAGGGGUGGGCCACCUAUGCAGAUUCUGGGGGUACUGGGGAGUCUGCAGAUACACCAUCUUUCAGGGCAUCCACCCAGAUUUUCCCAUCCUAUGUUUCAGGGCCCCAGAUGUUCCCAUCCGGGGCACAACAGACCUGAAUGCUCAGAAAGACAUUCAGCCAUUUUGGGGAACUUUGACCCUGACUCUCAGAUCCUGAGUUUGUUCCUUAGUUGUGCUAGCUCUUUCACCCUGUAAACUGCUGAAGAGACCGUCUGUUUCUCACACUUAGCCAUAACUGUUUGUUGACUGCCCUCUGUUUGCAAUGCUUCCUCUGUAGCAGGGAUCCCCAACUCCCGGGCCACGGACCCGUGGGCUGCACAGAAGGAGGUGAAGGCAGGCGAGUUAUUACCGCCAGCUCUGCCUCCUGUCAGGUCAGCGGCAUUAGAUACUCAUAGUAGUGCAAACCCUAUUGUGAACCGUGCAUGUGAGGGAUCUAGGUUGCACAGUCCUUAUGAGAAUCUAACUCCUGAUGAUCUGUCACUGUCUCCCAUCACCCCAGAUGGGACAGCUAGUUGUAGGAAAACAAGCUCAGGGCUCCCACUGAUUCUACAUUAUGGAGAGUUGUAUAAUUAUUUCAUUAUAUAUUACAAUGUAAUAAUAAUAGAAAUCAAGUGCCCAAUAAAUGUAAUGCACUUGAAUCAUCCUGAAACCUUCCCCUACCCCACCCCAGUCUGUGGAGAAACGGUCUUUCACAAAACUGGUCACUGGUGCCAAAAAGGUGGGGGACUGCUGUUCUGUAGGAUGUCAAUGCAGCUUUUGAGCAAUCAGCUCACUCCAUCUUUCCUGUGUGAGGUGCCUCCCCUCCCCCAGGCCCCCAUGCUUUCCAGGGCUUGAAUCCUAUCACUAGCCAGUGUAUUCUCCACUGGGAUGUCACUCUCAAGUCACUACUGAUAGUAUUUUUAGCAACUGGGAUAGCCCUUGUGACUGGGACUAUCCCUGCCCACAUACCACUUGGGAUGCGGUUCUCCUUGCCAGCUGGGAGCACGCGGUCCAGUCCCCAAACAGAGCUUGUUGUUUCUGACUGCCUUCAGGACCAACUGUGCUGAUGGGUUCUUAGGGAGGCAGACAUCAAGGCAAAGUUAGAAGGGCAAGAGAUUCGUUGUGGGUAGUAUCUGGUAAAGGACGAGGGAAAAGGAGUGGGAGUAGUCGGAGAAAGUCUCUAGGCCAUGGUGCAGGUCUGACACCUGUAAACGCAGAGGAGAAAGGAAGGAGGGUUGAGCAGGAAGAGCCUCAGGUCGAGGUGUAGCUCUGAGAAAAUCCUAGAGGAGUGCCAUGCUGGGCUGUGCUCAGACACUGGCUGGGAGCUUUCUGGGAAGAAAAUGGAUGUGGUGUGUAGGGACUAGAAGGAGGCAGGAGAUGGUUUUGGUAAUGAUCUGUUUCUUAAUCUGGGUUUUAUGUGUGUGUUCAUUUUAUAAAUUUUUAUCAAGCUCAUUUUUGACAUGUGAACUUUACAUAUGCUAUAUUUCAAUUUUCUAAAAGUCAUGAGUCUCUGCCUUUGGCUUCCAAAUAGCCUUAAUAAAGAAACUUAAUUAGGAUUUUGAAACCCAAACCCUAGGUGGGGAUAGUCUCAUACUGAAAAAACAAAUUUGUGGCCAGGCGUGGUGGCUCACUCCUGUAAUCCCAGCACUCUGGGAGGCUGAGGAGGGUGGAUCACCUGAGGUCAGGAGUUCAAGACCCACCUGGCCAACAUGGUGAAACCCUGUUUCUACUAAAAAUACAAAAAUUAGCUGGCCAUGGUGGCAUAUGCCUGUAUUCCCAGCUACUGGAGAGGCUGAGGCAGGAGAAUCGGUUGAACCCAGGAGGUGGAGGUUGCAGUGAGCCAAGAUCACACCACUGCACUCCAGCCUGGGCGACACAACAAGACUCCGUCUCAAAACAACAACAACAAAACAAACUGGUGAUAUACCCAAAGGAUCUUAGAAAUAUAUAAGCCAAUUUCUGUGAAUUUAUUAUCUGGAAUAAACCACACAAUGUAUAACGUCUUAAGUACAAAGAUGUUCAUUAUUACAUUGCUUAUAGUCGUGAACACUUGGAAAUAUCAUAAGUUUCCAUCAGUACAGAAACUACUGAAUAAAUCAUGGGAUGCAAUACAGUGGGAUACCAUGAAACAGUUGAAAAUAAUGAUGAGAAUCUAUAUUUCAUGGCAUGGGAGUAUGUUCAUGAUAUAACAUGAAUAAAUGAAAAGAAAGCACAAAUAUAUGCUUAAUAUGAUCCAUUUUACUAAAAAUGUUUCAAAAGCAUGUUUUUAUAGUUAGAAGAAAGACUGAGUAUUCUACAUAAAACAUGAAUAGUGCUUAUCUUUGGACAGUAUCUUAAAAAUGAUUAUUAUUUUCUGUAUCCUUUUAAUGUUUAAUGUUUCUGUUUUUUAUGAUGAAAAUUUAAUUCAGUUGCUCCCUGACUUAUGAUGGGGUCAUAUCCUGAUGAACCCAUCAUAUGUUGAAAAUAAGUCAAAAAUGCAGUUAAGACACCUAACCUAGGCUGGGCGCAGUGGGUGACACCUGUAAUCCCAGCACUUGGGGAGGCCGAGGGAGGUGGAUCAUGAGGUCAGGAGUUUGGGAGCAGCCUGGCCAACAUAGUGAAACCCUGUCUCUAUUCUGUACUAUUAAAAGUACAGAAAUUAGCCAGGUGUGGUGGUGGGCGCCUGUAGUCCCAACUACUUGGGAGGCUGAGGCAUGAGAAUCACUUGAACACGGGAGGUGGAGGUUGCAGUGAGUUGAGAUCAGGCCACUGUACUCCAGACUGGGCGACAGAGUGAAACUCUGUCUCAAAAAAAAGAAAAGAAAAGAAAAAAAAGACACCUAACCUCCUAAACAUUAUAAACCAGGUUAUGCGAUAUUUUAGGGUAGGGAAUUAAAGCUUACUCAUCCAUGUCCACCCAUUGUCUUUCACAUUACCUAGGAUAUGAGAUAGAAGUUCCAUUUGUAUUAGUUGGCCAAAAAGGAAUUAAUUCAUGAAUAAUAAAUGAAUGAAAAAAUGAAUGCUAGGUGAGUCAUUGAUAUGACUAUUGAUAUUUUAACCAGCUUACCCUUUUGUAUUUAAGUAAUAUAGUGCCUUUCACUUAAAAUCCAAAGGGUAAGCUGGUUAAAAUAUCAAUAGUCAAGACUUUGUAAAAUAUUUUUUUUCCUCGACUUAUCAUCACUCUGAAAACCCCACUGAAGGAUUUUCUUUCCACCCUUGCAACUCUGGGCUCCGCACAGCUGAAGGGCCUGGUAAGGGAGUGCACUCUUGCCAGGGGACACAGUGAACUACAAAUAUGGCUGUCACCUUUGGAGUCCUUGGAGUGUCCUAUGGAUACUUUGGAGUCCUUGUGUCCAGGAGCCAGGAGACAAACAGAGGAGUCACCAUCUUGGCAGAGGUCAUUGUCCCUGAUCAGCAGGUGGAGGCAGGGCUCCUGUUACACAGUGGGGAUGAGUACAAGGUAUUUGGAACCAGGGAGUAGUAUGGGCUGGCUACAGAAUUGGCAACGUCAUUUGCAAUCAUGUUUCAGCUGCCAUUUACAAGGUGAUGAUCCAUGAAUCCUUACCUCUUUCAUGAGUUUCAGGCAAAUAUUUUAAACAGCAAACUUGAUGGUGCGACCAAAAUGGUGAAACCAUGGUGAAACUCCGUCUCUACUAAAAUACAAAAAUUAGCCAGGUGUGAUGGUGCGCACCUAUAAUCCCAGCUACUCAGGAGGCUGAGGCAGGAGAACUGUUUGAACCCGGGGGGCAGAGGUUGCAGUGAGCCGAGAUGGCGCCAUUGCACUCCAGCCUGAGUGACAGAGCGAGACUCCAUCUCAAAAAAAAAAAAAGAGAUUGAGCUGGAAGGAUAAAAUAUAGAUAGAAAAUCUAUUCUGGGUCCUUUGAACAAUUAUUGAGCUACUAUGUUGAAUUUAUUAAUGAAAGCGAUUCCUUGUCAUUUAAUAUUUUUAUCUCCAUGGGCUGCCAAG